UGUCUUCCUAUCUAUCAUUUUUUCUAGCAUGACCUUGAAAAUGUGCAGCUCAGCUCGAGGUCUGGGGAAUGUCAAGAGGAGAGGGCCCCAUGGCAAAAUGCCCCACUAUGCUCUGAAUCCACUACCACUAUGCCAAAGACACACUUCACCACACAUGGAGGAAGCGCUCUGUGAUUAUGCCAUAGAUGUCCUUUCUCAGGCUGUGUCCGUGCCACAGAAUCACACAGAGGGGAUGACUGUGCUCACUGCUGCCAUUGGUACGCACCUUCUCCCAGGUACUCGCGGGAAGAAUCUGCUUUGCAUGAAAUCUUUAAGUAGAGGGGGCGCCUGGGUGGCUCAUUCGGUUAAGUGUCUGCCUUCAGUUCAGGUCCUGAUCCCGGGUCCUGGGAUGGAGUCCCCAUCGGGCUUCCUACUCAGCAGGGAGCCUGCUUCUCCCUCCACCUACUGCUCCUCCUGCUUGUGCUUUCUCUCUCUCUCUCUCUCUCUGAUAAAGAAAUAAAAUCUUUAAAAAAAAUCUAUAACUAGAGAGUCAAUGUAAAACGGAGUCUAAGUCCUGGUCUCUGCAUCUGAUGUGUCCUCAGCUCUAACAUACCCUUGUCCCAGAUUUCCAUGUGUCUCUCCUUUGCUUCCUUCAGAGCUCUGAUUAAAUACUGUCAGAGCCCUUCCUGGUCACACUGCACAAAUACCAACUCUUUUCUGGCUACUUUCUCUUAUCCUUAGCCUGCUUCAGUCCUCAUGACACCAGUCAGCCACACCCGACAUCUCUUCAUUUUUCUCUCUCUCUCUCUCCGUCAUUGUUUCCACUAGAAAAACGCAGGGAGUUUGCCUAAAUUGUUUGCUGUUACAUUGACAGCAUUUAGGUCAGGAGGCCUAGCAGGUUAUCAGCAGGUGCACAAUAUGUAUUUACUGAAUGAAUGAAUGAAUGAAUGGUCGAUUCUUAAUUAGCAUAAUGCCAACUCUCUGAAAGCCAGCCAGCAGCCAAACACAAUGCAUGAAUCCUUGCAAAUCAAAGUUUUAGUUAAAGGAAAUCACCCUCCUCCUGUCCUUUCAUAAGGAAACGCCCCAGUUACCUAAUUUCACAAACUGGAAAUAGAGUGGUGAUGACAGCCAGAGUGCCUCGCAGGCCAGGGCAGGCCCGGCACAGGCUGGCUGUGAGGCGGUGUGGGGCCCCAGGCACCGGGCGGGCGGGUCUGAAGUCUUCCAGAGUCACCUCAGGCUGGGUACAAAAGCCCUUGGGCAAAACCCCAGGAGGUGUGUGGGGGGUAUCUUUAUGAAGCUUCCGCAUUACUGGAUGAAUCAAAGAAUUAGUAGGCAAACAGGAUGGAAAGUGAGAGGCAGGAAGAUUAGGAAGUGCUCCCUCAGGCCAAACGCUAAGCUCUGUGUUGGUUUGCACAGUAGGAGAAGCAUGUCUGGGUGGGAACAGUUGCCUAGGGACUUCCUAGCUUUGAAAUGUGGGCAAGUCCAAUCUUGCUGCGUUGUUCUCAUCUCAAAGGCAGGAUAAAGAAAGGAGAUCAUCUGUGUAACGUCCCAUGGUAAGUACUUGGCCAGUGUGAGCUGUCUGGGGCAGGCACACCAGAUGGAUCCGACGUUAUUGGACAAGUCAUGCCAUCCAAACACGGUGCACCUGUGUGUCCCUCACCGCACUCUCUCCAUGACCAUCCGCUCUAAACAACCCAGUGGUUAACUUGGUCAUUCCCAUUCUUCUCUGGUGUUUGUAUUCCCACUAACUUUUAUUCAGUCGUUCACAAUGGGCCAGAAAACCGAACACCAACAUGGCAAAGAAGGAUUGCUCAACUUUGGACAAUUCUUCUUUCAUUUAUUAAUUGAGUAAACUACAGUUGUGAUCUGAAAUAUAGGGAUUUCAUAGUUUUACUCUUAGAGAACCUGUUCAAAGGUAGUAGGAAAUCCAUGUGUUUUUUCUCUUUUUAUUCUUUUUAAAAAUUAUCAUUUAUUUGUUUAUUUUAAAGAUUUUGUUUUUAUUUUUUUUGACAGACAGAGAUCACAAGUAGGCAGAGAGGCAGGCAGAGAAAGAGAGAGAGGGAGAAGCAGGCUCCCCGCUGAGCAGAGAGCCCAGAAGAGGGCUCGAUCCCAGGGCCCUGGGAUCAUGACCUGAGCCGAAGGCAGAGGCUUUAACCCACUGAGCCACCCAGCUGUCCCUCUCUUUUUAUUCUUAAUCUCUUUAUUCAAAAUCAGAAGACCACAAUAAAAUUAACUAGAUGUUUUUCCUUACCUCAUAAUUCAAAGCUAUUUUUAUUGCGAUUUAGAAAGGCAAACUGCCAAGGGACAGUUCCCUUCAUUGAAAUAUCCUACAGUCCUCAACACUUAGAACCAGACUCGUGAAGAAAACUGCUUUUCGUUUCACCAACAUUUUAUGAUUUCUUUAUGCUGUGCUAAUCACUGUAACAUAUUUAUCUAUAGGUAAGACUUUAGCCAAGAAUCGGAAAAUAAAUCUAUAAAUGCUUCUGUGUUAUCUAAAAUUACAAGCACUAAAGCUAGCACAAUUAUAUUUUGAAUCAGAAGACUAUGGACCAAGAGCCAGAGCAUACUGAUCCUAUUAGCAAUUCUAACAAUGGUUUGAAUUACCAAACCCUAUUUCCUUUGAAGCACUCAGAAAUGGGGAAGACUCCAAGGCCUAGAAAACAACAUCGUAAGGUAAGAAAAAAUGUGCAGGAACAAAACCUUCUCUAUUACUGCAGAGAAUAGGAAAUAAUCACAGUUGGCCCUAAAUCUAUUAUUAAAUCAAACAAUGCCUUUUAGAGAUACCUUGUAAGUCAAAACUCACUUUGAUGGGUCAGGUGUCAAUUACCUUGACUAUUCACUUAAAUACAAAAUCUUUUUCCAAAUAAAGACAUGUAAAUGAAACAGUAUUUGUUUGUUUCAUGCUAUUCUUUAAUUAUUUAUAUACAGAAUUACACUUGUGAUUAUGUUCCAUGUGUACGUUUUAACUCAAUCAAAGGAAAGAUCCUUGAGAGUGAUAAUAAAAGUCUUUUUUUUUUGCAAUGUUUUCAGGUUUCUGAACACAACUUUACUCGUAAAACAAGGAUUUUGUUGUUGGUGCUGGUGUUUUUCUUUAUAAAACAAAUUGUAUCAUAACUUCGGUGUAGUUAAAGAUAAUGUCAUUUAUCCACAGACAUUAAGUCAAUAUUAAAACUUUCUAAUAUUGCUUAAUAUAUCUAUUGCCUUACAAAAUCUCUUUACCCCAUAUAGACCGCUAAUGUUGUCCUUAAUGUAUUCUAGCUAAACUGCCUCUAUGCACAUAAAUAACUACCUUGUCCUUGUUCAUGAGGAUGCGCAAACAGAACCUAGAGGAAUUCAUGCUACCAGUUUUUAAUAUUUCACAGGAAAUAAUUUUGUUAACAGUCUUUGAUUAAAUAGGACUUUGCUAUAAAAUUUUGGACCUUUGACUGAAAAUAUGUCUGAGAAGAUCAUAACAACUGAUAGUGCUUGAAAACAAUGAUAAAAAGUGCUCAGAAGUUUUUUUCAACUUUUUACUUUGGUGUGAUCUCAGACUUACAAGAAAGUUGCAAGAAUAUUAAAAAGAAUUUCCAUAUACUUUUUAUCUAGAUUCCCUAAGUGUCAACAUUUGUCACCUUUGCUUUGCUUUAUUGCUCAUUCUUUUGCUUUCUAAUAUGUUGUACCCCACAAAGUAUAAUUUUCUCUCUCUGCAUAUACUUGUUCUUCAGUUUUUGAAACUAAGUGGCAAAAUGAUGCCCUGUUAUUCUCAAAUGUUUCAGUAAAUAUUUCCUAAGUACAAAGACAUCCUCCUACUAAUUAAGAUAACUAUUAUCAAAAUGAGAACAUUAACAUUGAUAUUAUGAUCUAAUCUAUGGACAUUAUUCACAUUUUGGCCCAUUAUCCCAAUAAAAUCUUUUAUAGCAAAUGAAAAUUCUGGAUCACACACCGUCCUCGGUUAUUAUGUCCUUCUGGUCUGCUUUCAUCUGGAACAUUCCUCAGUUUUUCUUUGUUUUCAUAACCUUGAUAACUUUGAAG
rnacentral:lncRNA from 1 species